GAGUUCAGUUGAUUAGAGCGUGGUGCUCAUAAUGCCAAGGUUGCAGGUUCGAUCCCUGCAUGGGACA